CAUGGAAGGGACAGAGGGCAGAGGCUCAAAGCACGGAGCAUCUCUCUGCAGUGUUUCUGAAGCCCACCCUGAGGGUGGCUGGCCUUUCACCUGCUCUGAAGCUGCUGCUGCCUCAGCCACCCAAGAUGAGUGAAGGAUGAGCGUCCUGAUGGACACAGCAGUCACUUCCAGCAGCAGGAGUUGUUGUCAGUAAUCAGUUCCUGCAAGUGCCUGAUGAUUUCACAGCCCCUGUAGAGCCUGACGUGGAGAAGCUGCUGGCCCACCCCAGUUGGGAUCUCCUGUCCAUAUCCCUGUGGAUGUUCCUGUUUCCAUACUGGAAACACCUGUGGAUUUCAAUGGCUGCUGGAAACCAUCACUUUCCACCCAAAUGAUGAUGUGAUUGUGACUGGCCAAGAAAGCUGCAUCACUUGCUCAGAUCAUGUGAGCUUUAAUUGAGGAAAACAAACUUCAGAGCAAGUUUCCAGGCCCUGCAUAUUCCAGAAGAAGUGAGAAGCACAUGACCAUCUCUUGUAAAAGAAGAGGAAAAUGAGGGGUUUUCCCUUUGCGGAGGAG
rnacentral:lncRNA from 1 species